rnacentral:tRNA from 1 species
GGUAGCAUGGCCGAGCGGUCUAAGGCGCUGGUUUAAGGCACCAGUCAUUUCAGAUGGCGUGGGUUCGAACUCCCACUGGGGCUG